UACGGAGGGUGCAAGCGUUAUCCGGAUUCAUUGGGUUUAAAGGGUGCGUAGGCGGUCUAAUAAGUCAGUGUGAAAGCCUUCCGCUUAACGGGAGAACUGCCAUUGAUACUGUUAGACUUGAAUCUAGGUUGAAGUGGUGGAAUACAUCAUGUAGCGGUGAAUGCAUAGAUAUGAUGUAGAACGCCGAUUGCGAAGGCACUCACUAAGUUA
rnacentral:rRNA from 1 species